CCUACGGGAGACAGCAGUGGGGAAUAUUGCACAAUGGGGGAAACCCUGAUGCAGCGACGCCGCGUGAGUGAAGAAGUAUUUCGGUAUGUAAAGCUCUAUCAGCAGGGAAGAAAAUGACGGUACCUGAUUAAGAAGCCCCGGCUAACUACGUGCCAGCAGCCGCGGUAAUACGUAGGGGGCAAGCGUUAUCCGGAUUUACUGGGUGUAAAGGGAGCGUAGACGGCAGCACAAGUCUGGAGUGAAAUGCCGGGGCUUAACCCCGGAACUGCAUUGGAAACUGGGAGACUUGAGUGCAGAAGAGGAGAGUGGAACUCCAUGUGUAGCGGUGAAAUGCGUAGAUAUUAGGAGGAACACCAGUGGCGAAGGCGGCUUACUGGACUGUAACUGACGUUGAGGCUCGAAAGCGUGGGGAGCAAACAGGAUUAGAUACCCUAGUAGUC
rnacentral:rRNA from 1 species